UGUUUUUGGUGGCUUUUUUCAUCAAACGGAAAGACAUUUUCUGAACCAAUGACACUUCCGGAGUGGCUGUGACUGGUCUUACGCCUGGAACAAAAAACAGAAAUGAGUUUUAUUGCCUAAAUUCAUUACGCUUAGAACAGAUCAAACCGACGCUCUGGCUUCUGCUGCAGAAGAGAGCAGAUCAAAAGGCAGCAUUCUGUGCAGAAAGAUGGAGAGAUGUCUGAUUAUUACCGUAAACUUUACAUCCACUCUACAGAAUCCUUACUCUAAGAUCUUCAGGUCAGAAAGACCACAAAUGUCUGCAUUAUCUAUACGGCCAUCUCCUAUAAAGCCUAUGAAGUUUAGUAUUAGAAUUGUACUUGAAGUAAUAAACAAAUCACCUUCUGUCAAGGUAUUCUGAAAAGCAUUCUGAACAAAAGGAUCCCCAGAGACCAGACCAUCGCCGACUUUCCAUGAAACUCGCCCUUCAUCUUGUACUCGUGAGGGCAGUACAUCACUGUGCCUGGAGGAAACAGAGUUUGUCCCAUGUAAUAAGAGAUGUGUUUGGACAGUUACACCCAGGGACGUGCGGACUGACAUUGGCUGUAGUGAUGGACAUCUGCUCAUGGAUGGGCAAAAGCAUAACCCCUGCUGGACAUCGUGCUGGAGCUUAGGGGGAACCCUGUGAUCUCCUGCACCUUCUCACUCACGCCACACCUUCACAUCGCUGAGAUCUGGCUGGGAUCGAACCAGCAACCUCUGAACCCAUGAGGCAGCGCUCUUAACCUGACAGUAGAGCACAGAUGGGAAAGGGAGUGUGGUCAAGACAUGAUGGGACUAACACAGACAGAAAAAGACAUUCUACGCCCUGAGUUAAAAGAGGUCAUGGCCAAUCACCCGACACAUUCUAAGCUGUAAGCGGCCAGAACAUGAUGAAUGAUGGAAUACGUUUCAGAUACUAGGAAACUAGGUCUAUCAAAUAAGAGAGAGAAACAAAAUGUGCAGCACUGUGAGUCCCCAGGACUGGAGUUGAGCGCUACAAACAGUCAUCACUGUAGAUCCAUUCCAACAGAAGUCAUCUAAUAAGAAAAAAAAUCAAGAGGUUAUUUACCAGAUGUUGCAUUGAUUUGAAAGUGCUUCAUCCCAUAAAUGCCGUAUUCAGUGAGUAAACACAAAUGUAUAUGCCUUAUGUUUUGUAGGACAAAUAUUUUAUCAUUCAUGUCAUGACCUGUUUGCAGUUGAUAUUACUUGUCUCCAUAGCCAAACAUUUCUGCAAUAAUUGCCAUUGACCGAUAAAAGUAUAUUCUUCACAGAAAUUCAAAUUUCAGGUUGUUUACUGUUUAAAUGCUGUCUAAAAUCAUCUUAUUUUUUUAAUGUCACAUGAUGGGCCUCCAAAGUAAUUAGGAAAUUUGCCGAUCCGAUCUAAUAGUCUGCUAUUAGAGCCACAUCCUCUACCUGCAGUGGCGUUUUUUAAAUGAAUCAGUGUUUUGAACAAAUCAGUUGAAUGAAUGAUUCUUGAGUCACUCACUUGUUUGGUUACUGAAUGAAUCGCCACCUACUGGCAUAUAGAUGUAGACACGCGGAGUGAUACAAACAGUAAAAAGUCCCUACGCUGUUGGACUGAAUAUCAACUUCGGAACUAACUGAUGUAUUAUAUAAUAUAUCUACUGUGAGUAGAGUAAAUGUAUAGAUAUCAGUAAAAUGUGAUUAAAACAAUAUAUUUCUAUCCUUAGGGGGCCAAUUUAGGUACAUUCCCACUGAAAUGCAUUCUUUACUACAAGACGUGAAAGCGGCAUAGAGCUUUUACCAUUUGCAGGUGUAUAAAUCCCAAGUCCUACUGCUGUUUUCAUAUUUUAUUGCAGAUACACUUAUUGUCCACAAGGGGAGCUGACACACUGAUCUGAUCAUGUCUGUUUAAUCAAUCAGUAAAUAGCCACUUUUAGAAAAUUUAGUCAGUAAUAUCAGUAAAAUUUAGUCGUAAUAUCAGUCAUUAGUUUACAGAUUUAGACAGUCAUUUUGAUGAAAAGUAAUGAUUUGCCUUGAUCCGCCCUAUGUUUCACAUACCCUAUCAUGCUUUAUUAUAAAUACUGCUUAAACCUUGAACUGACACAACACGAAAGCAUUGUUUAACUGUGAACAAAUAUGAUGCAUAUUUUAAAUAACUGAAGACAAACAAACAGCUACUUAAAACAUACUAAAAAACAUACAAAAAGAAGAAACUCGACCCGUAUUUUACGUAUUUACACUUUGAGCACGUGCCUUUGAGUAAAACACAUUUCAUCAGUUUUACCCCAUCAGUUGAGAGCUGAUCUGGUUCAUUUUCUGAAACUGGUAGAUCCAUGUUGCUCUGCUGGUCAAGACCCUGACAAAAUCAUAGAUUUGUCGGAAAAUAUAUGAAAUGCACGUUUCAGUCUCGCCUACUACUAUACUGGCCGCCAUCUCGGGUUUGUCGUUUCAAUUAAUAAUAUUGAUACACUUAUUGGCCACAAGAGGGAGCCGGUGAUCACCUGUUUGUCACUUGCCUUUCACUUAUUUAUCAAAAACAGGGACGUUUGGUCGAGUAUGAACAUGUAAAAAAAAAUAAAAAAUACGCGUGACGUUUUGAAAUAUAGUCAGUAGUGAUACAAUUUUGAGUCUGUUGGCCUUGUAAUACGACUCGUUUAGUAGAAACUGAAGUGCAGUUUUCCAUCCGCUCCUCUAGGGUGCGUAAACGAGUUUCAAGUUCAGUUUGACAGAUUCAUAUGCUUGACAACAUGACGCUUGUUACAGUCGCCACAACACGUGCAGACCUUUUAAACUACAUAAGCUGCAAAUGACAGCUCAGUGACACUAUUUUAAUGUCACUCAACAACAUAUUCAAACAAAUCCGACACGCGCUGCGUUAAAGUUCAGGAAGCAAAGAUGUCACGCGACUCACCUGAUAAAGGAUGUGUUUGGAGCGUACAGUCAACAGAAGCAGAGCACUGGGACGUGUGGACAGACAUUCACUGUAAUGAUUGACGUGUACAGGUAAGACUUUUAACGUGCGAAUGUGUGUCAUUUGGCGCUAAACAUGUAGGUUAUUAUCAAUUUCUUUUUGGAGGGUCACUCUAAAAAGCAAAUGAUGGUAACCUAAAUAGGCGGGGAAGGGAUGGCAGGCCAAAAUUUUUAUACAGCUAAAUUUUUUUCAUUGUAUCAAGAAGCAUAACCACUGC